CUUCAAAGUCAACGUUGCAUCCUUGGAAACAAGUUGGCUGCAACGUUGACUUUGAACC
ensembl:miRNA